rnacentral:rRNA from 1 species
GACGAACGCUGGCGGCGUGCUUAACACAUGCAAGUCGAACGGAAAGGCCCUGCUUUUGUGGGGUGCUCGAGUGGCGAACGGGUGAGUAACACGUGAGUAACCUGCCCUUGACUUUGGGAUAACUUCAGUAAACUGGGGCUAAUACCGGAUAGGAGCUCCUGCUGCAUGGUGGGGGUUGGAAAGUUUCGGCGGUUGGGGAUGGACUCGCGGCUUAUCAGCUUGUUGGUGGGGUAGUGGCUUACCAAGGCUUUGACGGGUAGCCGGCCUGAGAGGGUGACCGGCCACAUUGGGACUGAGAUACGGCCCAGACUGCUACGGGAGGCAGCAGUGGGUAAUAUUGCACAAUGGGCGGAAGCCUGAUGCAGCAACGCCGCGUGCGGGAUGACGGCCUUCGGGUUGUAAACCGCUUACGCCUGUGACGAAGCGUGAGUGACGGUAAUGGGUAAAGAAGCACCGGCUAACUACGUG